rnacentral:lncRNA from 1 species
GUAGUUACUGGGUAGGAUUAGUAACCAGAUUAAAUCGGGUACAUUUUUUUUAUCCAGACGUGCAAAUGCUGCCCCCUAGACCCAACAGGUUAAAGUGAGAAACAGAGAUAGGUGUAUUUAAGUCCAGGGCCUCGUGCUAAUAGUUUGGGUUUAGUGUAUCAAAAAUAACUCGCAAGGGCCAUCAUUUGGUUAGAGCCUGCGCUGAGCUGGAAUGUUAUUUAACAUCAACGUUGUAUUUCAUUACAUGUUAUAGUCUGAAUCUAUCUUGUGGUCAGCUCCUGUGAGUUGGACUUGGACUCCCUGAGUUGCCACAUCAAUAUAGAGGAUGUCUUUUAUAGAUGAGCCCUGCAUACACCAAUACACAUCAAUAUGCACUAUAGGGUUGGACGGUAGACCAUAUAUACCAUAUACCAGGGUAUUUGGAAAUAGCCACGGGAUGGUUUUUUAAUACGUCCCUACCGUUGGAACUAUUUCUUUCAAGUUUUUUAUUACAUUUUAAUAUUUCUAGCUACUUAAGUAAACACCUGCAGUCAACUUGUGCAAUAUGUUAGCAUAUCGCGUUCUUAAUUUCACCUGUUACAUUAUUUGACAUUAUGAAGCUUACCGAUAGUCCCCAGUCACAUGUUGUUUGUUUACAAGAACACUAUGAUGAGACCGGAGCCUUGCGAGUCACUCACUGUUGUACAGCACACGUCAGUAAAUGUUUGCCAGCUAAAUAUCUUUUAACUAAGUAUCUACAAUGUGCUAACUCUCAGCUGUUGUGCAUUUGGUUUGCUAACUUAGUAGCUAGUUAUUUAGCUAAUUGGUUAGCUUUGUGCAAAAGCUUAUCUUGGUAACAGCAGAGAAUCCCCUCUUGGAUCAAGAGCCUUGCUGUCUAAUAAUUGUUUUGUGUGUGCAGCAAACUCUGAGUAGCGUAAAAUGUGAUCUCAUGUCUUUUCGGUCUUAUGUUCUAAAAUUAGAAAUUGUGUUUCUGACAUUGAAUAAAUGUACCAACGCAGAACUUCAAAAUGUUAUAUCAUAUACUGCAAUCGGAGGCACAAUGGGAAAGUAAUGCUGCUUUGAAUGUUGAUAAACUUGUAACUGAAUUUGAAAGAAAUGGG